rnacentral:rRNA from 1 species
UACGGGGGGGGCAAGCGUUGUUCGGAAUUACUGGGCGUAAAGCGCACGUAGGCGGCUCGAUCAGUCAGGGGUGAAAUCCCAGGGCUCAACCCUGGAACUGCCUUUGAUACUGUCGAUCUGGAGUAUGGAAGAGGUGAGUGGAAUUCCGAGUGUAGAGGUGAAAUUCGUAGAUAUUCGGAGGAACACCAGUGGCGAAGGCGGCUCACUGGUCCAUUACUGACGCUGAGGUGCGAAAGCGUGGGGAGCAAACAGG